GGCAUGCUGAUGGAAGGCUUCAUCGCGCCGCCAUUUUGCCAGCCUUAUAGAGCCAUUGGCUGUGACAUGCAGGUAGAAGUUGGGUCUGUCAGCCGCCUCCAGGGACACCACAUCAGGGUCUGCAGAGCCACAGGAGUUAGCUACCCUCGGCCAUCAUCUCUGUGGAUGAAGGUGGGAGGUUACAGAAGGCCUCAGCUGCUGCUGUCUCCAGUCCUGUCUGUCUCUCCUUUCCCACCAGAAAACCUUGCCUACCCUGGCACCUACUCUGCUUGGCACCAGUGCAGGUCCUUACGGGAUCCCCUGAGUCGUCAUCGAAGAUGAUGAGUGAGCUGCCAACGUUGAUGGAGAUGGACUUCCUGCAGAUGACACCUGCGCUGUAGCAGUUCACAUCUUCCACCAUAACAGAGAAGCUGAGCUCCGAUGUACUCUGAGGAGAAGAAAAGAAGCCAGGACAACCAGGGAGAGGAGGCAUCCCAUGAAGAGCACAGAAGAAAGGGGAUGUGAACUCUGAGGGGCUUUCCCACUAAUUCAUUUUUGUGAGUAUUGUUAGGGGGAGGGAGAGGGAGAAGGUGAAGGGAAGAGGGAGAAAGGGGGAGGGAGAGGGGGGAGGGGGAGGGGAGGGGGAGGGAGAGAGGGGAGAGCGAAAGAAAGAAACUCUGUCUCAAAACUAAUUGAAAUUGGUUUGGCUUUUUUUUUUUUUUAAAUAUGAGCAAAAUGGUUCAUGUCUCUCUCCGCUCAGGAGGCUAUAACAGAGCUAACUCAAACGUGAAAGUUUGCAUUCAUCUUGGGCAACAUGGCAAGACUGACUCCUCUGGAAGGUUUCUUUAGAAGUUGCACUUCAGGGAUUAUAGAUCCCCCCACCCCCAACUAUGCAUCAGCCUGGAGCCCAGAUCAUCUACGCAUCUGACAGGUGCUGUCCCUGGUUAGUCUGGGUGCCCCUAGAGACUGCUGGGUAAACACACUCAGUAACUCACCUUGACCAAGUGCACUUUGCACGCCCCUACAAAGUCAAACGGAAGCCCGUCAAAUGUACGGUAGUGUCGGUCCCCGUAGGCAGUGCAGGUGGAGGCACAGGGGUGCAGGGUGCACUGGAACGAGCCCCGCUGGCACACACUGAAACACACAGAGAGAGCUCACAGAACACAGUUCGCACCAUAUUAGAAUGCUCUUGAGGAAGCCUUUGCCCGCUGAAUGCACACGGUGUGUGCACCAGAGAAGGGCUUCAGCAAGCAUAGCAUCCUCCAACAGAAGCCAGGGAGGCAGACUGACUGCUUCUUUAUUACUCAUUCAUUUGUUCAUUCAUUCAUUCAUUCAUUCAACAAACCAUCAGUGGCAAACACAUCUCAGGCAUUCUUCCAAGAAUUUGAGAAAUAUCAAUGAACAAAACAGAAGAAAAGCCCUGUGAUUUAGUGAAGCUUGCAUCCUAGAGAAGAAAUAGGCAUCGUGGCUGUCUUAGCAGCCAGGCUGUGCUGGGGCAGGGUUGGGGCAUGAAGGAAACAGGGUGUGUUUAGAAAUGUGUCCACAGAUUUUAAACCGGGUCAUCAGAGACAUGGGAACAAAGACUUCAAGGAGCUAAGAAAGUUAGUGAUAUGGGCAUUGGAAGAAGGGCAUUGUGGGAAGAGGGGGCAGCCUACAAAGACGACCUUGAGGAAUACUCAUGGUAACAACUGAGACGGACAAUCCAAGGAUAAGAGGGCAGAAGAGGUUUGGAGGGCAGUGGACAGCUGCGUGGUAGAAGUCCAAGAAGGGGGGCUGGAGAGAUGCUCAGAGGUUAAGAGCACUGACUGCUCUUCCAGAGGUCCUGAGUUCAAUUCCCAGCAACCACAUGGUGGCUCACAACCAUCUGUAAUGGGAUCUGAUGCCCUGUUCUGGUGUGGCUGAAGACAGCUAUAAUGUACUCAUAUAAAUAAAAAUUAAUAAAAAAAUUAAAAAAAAUAAGUCCAAGAAAGCCACAUGAGGGUGUGACUUCUUCCUAGGAGUAUGAGAGGAAGACUCUGGAGGGCUGAGGUAGAAGUGCCUUUGCCUGACUAGUACUGGCCAGAGGAAGGGAAAGGCCACCUGGGAGGUGACUGCAAUGAAUUAGAGACAAGAGGACAGGGGCUCAGGGUAGACCACAGCAGUUGAAAGGUGAAGGCAUAGUCACAUUAGAAGACUGUGCAGAAGCAGAAAGUUUCACCCUGACAGGUUCAAAUCAUCUAGACUCAGUUAGUUAACCAACCAAUCACCUCGGGCCAUCAUCCAUGAGUUCCUGCACUGGAGCACACCUACACGGGGACUUCCUAAGUCAGACAGACAGGGUUCUGAUGGUACCCGCACACCCUGGUGUAUACAAAAACAGUCUGGGCGUUUGGCCUUGACCGUGACCAUACUAUUGACAUGCGAAGGCAUCCUCUGGGCUGAAAAUGGAGCAUCUUCCAUUAUAAAUAAGCCAACUGUCACUAGUUUGAUGACUUUCUAAAGUGACCUCUCUGAGAGUCUCUGCUAGACUGCUGGGCCCCAGCCUGCCACCACUGAAAUCGAUCUAAUCUGGGUGCACACUUCUGCACAUGUGUGCUAAUGUUACUGAGUGAACAAUGCAGAAAUACACUCACAUACACACUCACAGGCAAAACACAAAUCACAGGUUCACAAUCUUCAUUGAAGUGAAUUCAAACAUACGUCUAUUUAAUGCAGUCACUCACUUCGCACACACAUGUGCUAAAUAGAUGCACAUGCACAUAAAUAUACACACACCAUUAUGCAUAUGCAAAUCCUCGCCACUAUAUUACUGGAUUUACUCAACUCUGUGGCACCUGCCUUUUUUAAUGUAUGUCUAUAUAAGUUUUCUCACAUGCAUAUAUGACAUAUACAUGUAUGUUCACUCACACGCAUUCAUAUGUUCACUCAUAUGCAUAUAUAUGAUGUUCAUCUAAAUAUGCAAAUACGUUAUCAUGGUUGCAAACAUACGAGUGUAUAUGUCCAUAGACAUGUCUGAUCAGUCAUGCAAAUAGUAACAAAUAUUCUAAGUAUUACAUCAUACAAACUCUAUGCAGUAGUGAGCAUGGUGAACAUAAAUAUGAACAUGGUGGAAGAAACAAACACAUUCUUUCCAGAAAAAAACUGAGGCCAGCUCAGGGACUUACCAGGUAUGGCAGGAAGAGACUACCUGGUCCCCAGGGAAAUACUCCUUCCCCUUCCAGGUACAUGGACACUCCUCUGGUGGGAAGCAGGAAUCCCCAUGUCUGAGCAGGCUGGAAGGACACGGCAAGCCAGUGGUCAAAGAGCACUUCUAGAGUUGUCACGAUGUAGGAAGGCCCAGUCCACCAUGGGUAGCGCCAUCCCUAGGCAGGUAGGCCUGGGCUACAUAAGAACACUUGCUCUACAUGAGCUAGAAAGGAAGCCGGUUAGUAGCAUUCCUCCAUGAUUUCUGCUUCAGAGACCACUUGAGUUCCUGCUCUGACUUCCCUCAGUGAUGGACUCUGACCUAGAAGUACAGUCCAGAUGAACCCUUUCUCUCUUAAGUUGCUUUGGUCAGGGUGAGUUAUCACAGCAACGGAAAGCAAACUAGGAUAGAUACUGACGCGCCCAACCCGUACAGUGGCCCCACGGUCCUUCAGAGCAAUGCCCAGUAUAGUGGAUUCUUAGAUAAAUUUAAAGAGACAUGGUGACCGGGGUGCAGAGGUAACUAACUGUGGGCUCAGUAGGGCCUGGGGAGGAGUUGUUGAUGGUGGUUCAUGAGUCGCCUGGGAGUACAGGUGGAUUCCCCACAUGGCGUUCUAUAGACACCCUCCAAGCAUCCUGAGCAGACCCAAACCCAGAGCUAGGAUCCUCUAGGCCAGAACCUCUAUAUGGUCACAUUCUGGACAGUGAACGACCCUGGCUCCUGACUGCAGAGAACUGGGCAUUCCUGACCUCAGGCUGAGAGGCAGGCUUGUGCGAACAGGACAGUAGUUUGUGAAGCCUUCAGUGACAGACGUCAAAGUCUGAGGCCUGGGUGGCCGUGGGUAAGGCUAGGAUCCUAUGCAGGCACGUGCCCUGGCUGGGGAAGGGACAAGCAUAUACUCCACACUGUGGACCCCGCCUCUCUGAGCGAGGAGCCGAGCUGGCAAUAAAGUAGACUUAGUCUGAGCCUGAUUCCUCUAGUGGACUAUUUCCCUCCCUCCGACCCUACCCGGAUCUGUUUUUUCUUCUGUGGAAUGAGCAAGCUCCUCCCCACUUUGAGAUUGGCAGAGGUAACAUCAGUGUCUUAAACACUAUAAAGCUCCAUCAGGCCGCCUACUGCCCCAGCCACCACAGAAGCUCUGACCCUCAUUUCAUUCCCUUUGGUUGCCAGGCCGGAGCCAGGGCCCCCAAGUGACCAUUAAAUCUCAGCACAGACUGAAGGGCGCAACCCCAUGUGGCCAAGUCACGGGAGGGAGGUGGCUCCAGGGCCCUCGUUUGACCCAGGCCUGAGAAUGAUGCUGGUAGAAAUGAGCACUGGUCCCCGUGUGCAGAUCACAGCCGCAAGCCCAGCUCUUGUAAUUCCCCACGGCCUCCAUGCAGCACCUGGACAACCAGGAAGGCGGCUGCUCUUGUCAGGUGUGGCUUUCUUUCGGGAUUAUUCCAGGGGAACCACCCUCCAUUGGACGGCUGUGAUCAGGGAAGGAGGCUGAGAGCUAGCAUGGGUUUCUUGUGCCUGGUCUUUGAUCAUGGGGUUCCUCAGGCAUUUGGGGCACAUCAGACACCUAUCUCCGAGCUUCUGCUUUGAAGCCUUGUUUAAUCCGCCUGUUGUGGUGACAAGUUUUAGGUGCCCAUUUUACAGAUGAAAUACUGAGUAUCAGAGGAGCAGGUGCCGUCCUCAUCUGAGGUCCCAUGGCUCACAGGAAACAGAACCUGACAGGCUCCAGUUCAGGCUGAGCUCUCAAGGUACUGCUCCUUCCCAGGCUCCCCACAGACAUCACAGCCACACUGUCUCCUCCAUCCCAGGCUGUGUGAGAUCACCUCCAUGCCCAACCUGAAGCCCCUGGAUCUGCCACCCUUUAGGCAGGAGAAUUACUGGUAAGUGGAUUACAUACCCCAGGGGACAGGCACAACCCGACAGGCAGGGACCACGUGCUGGCAGGCUCAGGUUCAGCAGCUGCUGCUCACACGUCCUCUCCCUGCUGAGCUCGGGGUCUGGGUGCAGCUCACUGCAGUUCACGAACACCUGACCUGCUGGACAGGUAGCAGCUAGAAGAAAGGGGGUUACAUGCUGCAGGCCCUUGGCCUGGGCUGAUGUCAGUGCUGUGUGGGCAGCUGGAAGAGAUGGGCAGCUUCUAGACAUGAUGUGCGUCCCCACGUCACAGGGACAAAGCAGAUAGAGCUUCUCACACACACUACAGGACAGCCCCUGUCAGCAGCACACCAUGCACCCCCACACAACAAACUUCUUAUUUUCUAUUGCAAGCACCCUGCACCUCCCUUCUCACACAAGAAAAGGGAGAACUAUCUGCCGUGUAAAGGCAGCAGAAACUGAAAGGAAGGAUCCCAGAAUGACCAGAGACCUAAAGGUGGACGGCUGAGUGGUCUAGAACGAUGGCCAGGGAGAGUUAACUCCACGCUGCGUCCGUUUCACUGACGUAACUCUCCCGGCCUUCAGCAGCGUCUAACCAUGCACGGUCACACUUGUGUGAGUGACUGUUUUAGGGAAACCCAAUAAAAGGCAGCUAAGUUUCAAGGCCAGGAUAGACUAGCACAGAGAAAGGGCCAGAUCUGAAAAGAGGAAGAACCCAAGCCGGGAAAGAGCGAAGCAGAGGUGCUCUGGGGACAGCUCUGGGGACACCUUCAGGGACAGCUCGGGGGACAGUAGGGAGAUGGGGUAGGGAGGAUUUGGGGUUCAGAGAGAUGAGGCAUAUGACUCAGGGCUGCACGGCUGACCCAGUCUCCAGGCUUGCUCUUAACCAUCAGCCGUAAGCUUACUGUCACCCUCUGUACCAAUCUCUGUCCAUUCUCUGUGGGCUCUUCUGCCAGAGAGGGAGGCCCUCUGAGGACUCCAACCCCCAAGCUCUGUCCUCCUCCAGGCACUCCGAGAGCUGCUCCUCACCGUCCCACCCCUGCCCUAUCUGUGCUAUGGAGAAGCUCAAAUAGUUCAAACUGCCCUUCUGUCUCUGCGAAACAAGUCUCGGAAGACAUUUGGCAGCUCAGUGGGGGGAACAAAUCCAGGACUAGCAAAGACAAGCAACUUCUCAGAUCCCCAAGCGCUCUCCAGAGGUUAAAGUCAGGAUGGCGUUCCAGGGUACCACUCUAUAUGCUGGGACCUCCGCCAAGAGUUCAGGAACACCAACGCCAUGUCAGAGCAAGCUAGAGUAGGUUCUCCCCCAUCCUGACCAGCACCCCAGUUCUUCACUCUCUUCUCCGCAGCCACUUCCCACCAUCUGGAGUCCCCUCCACCCCCAAGCCCCCCUUUUCAGCCCUGCUUACCUGGGGCUCGGCUGUCACAGCUCAUGACGCCAUCUUUGCAGUGGCUACAGAGAGUCAGGGGAGUUAUGAGCCCAGCCGCUCAUUAGGGGCCCACUCAGCACAAAGCUACUACCCUUGGGCCCCUGUGGCCUUCAGACACAUCCCUACUUACGAUCCCUGCUCCCCACCACCAUCCCACACAUGGAGUAAGGAAGUAAAUGCUACUCUCAUGUAGCAGCGGGUCCCAGGAAGCUCACCAGUGGCCCAGAGAAGGGAUGUCACUGUCCCCAGGGGGAUAGUCCACUCCUUGGAAAUGGCAAGAACAUUGAUUCCUACAGAAACCAAGAAGGAUUAGAGCAGACUUGGGAGUGGAAACCAGGACACCCAGGGCCCACUCUCAGGCAGCUGCAGACGAGGGGGUGGAGAGAGAGGUCACAGUAAUCCCUGGGAUGGGACAUGCCUGACACUGAGGUCAGACGCAGGACUCAGUGCCAGGCUGGGGGACAUGGCUGGCUUCUGAAAGCACUGUUUACCACUUUUCAGCCUCCCCCUCUCCCCCACCCCCACCCCCACCAAAGGCAACCUAACUCAGAGGUCAGAGCACAGAGGGGACCAACUCAGAGCUCCACCUCCCAGCCCCAGUCCAUGUUAGAAUGGAUACUGUUCUGGGAUAGCAUCAGAGUCAAUCGGACCCAGCAUCUGUCCCGGCUGGUCACUCCCCCGACAGGUCACUUUUGGCUGGAGUCUCAGGCUAGGCCCUCCCAGGCACUGUCUCUCCUGGAUUCGUCUCAGGGACCUCUGGGGUAUAAGGGUGUCACUUUGUCUUUUAUCUUUAUCUGCAGUCACUGGCUCUAGGUCCUUAUCACACAGCUCUCACAGCUGAUUCCAAAACUGCUGGUCUUACAGCAGAACAGGCCAGGGCUCAGGGGACCCACGGGAGGGACCCUGGCUGGAAUCAUCUUUCCCAGAACUCUUCAGCCAAUUCCUUGUCUUUCCCGUGUAGCUCGCUGAGGUUUUUAUUAAGGGUGUUGGAGGGCACACAGCUGAAAUCUAUGGGAGAGCCCUGCAGUGUGACAAGCUUCUGAGUGAUUCUCAUUCGCCGCCUAAAAGGGAGUGACUCCUCCCCCUCAUUACUGGUAUACCUCCGAGUAAUUAAUAGACCACUUCAUAGAUGGAGAAACUGAGACCCCAGAGCCUUCCAGUCAUCUGAAAAUCAUGUGGCUUGCUCUUCCCCGUCUACCUCCAGCCACACAGCCAGCUUCCACCAGCCAGGCUACAGGGCAGUUCUCCUCUCAGACUCCUUCCCUGCCUUCCUUCACCUCAGGGCCCCUCAGAUGUCACCUCUGCCUUAGCUGUGUGUGACCCAGGACUUCUGGCCUCACACUCUAUGUGGCUUUCUAGCUCUCCUGACCUCCCCAGGCCCCUAAGAACCUGUUUGGGAGGGGGGUUCUGCCUUUCCACCUUCAAUUGUGGAUUUGGGAAACUACUCUCUGCUCUGCUCACUACUGGAUUUUCAGAACCGGAUGCCCUCGGCAUGCUGAGAUGCACACAGAUGCUCCUGGAAGAAGAAAGCUGAGGAGAGAGAGGUGAUGCGGCUCCAGUUCAAUCUGCUUUACAGAAGGAGGGAGAGGCCUGAGAAGAGGGAGCUACCUGCCUCUCCAACAAGGCCUGCGUAUUGGUGAGGGGAAGCAGGGGUCAGAGAGGCUCAGCCCAGCUGUCCAGAGCAGACCCUAGCCUCCCUCCCCACCUUUCCCAGGUUCCGGACUGGCCCCUCACCUGGGGACACAGAGGUCAGUCUGUGUGUCCAGGAAUGUGUCCGGUGGGCAGGUGCAACCCUCCACACACUCAUCCCUGCUGAAGUUGCCACCACCGUUAGCCCCGCAGACAUCAGGGCUGGCCAGGUCCUGGCAGGUUUGUGUGCACAGGGCCACACAAGGGCUGUACUCCUUAGUGGCCUCACAGGACAGCGCUGUAGGGAGAAAGGAGACUGAACUUGGUAUCUCUUCUUCCCACAACUGUGGGGGGGUGCGGGGGGUAGCAUCUUGAAAAGAAAAACUCAGAGAGGGUAAGACAUUUGUCCCAUCCCUGGUCACACAGCAGCCCAAGGUCAAAGAAGUGUCUCAAUGUACAGCAUCCAUUACCUGCAGCCUGGAAAAGCAGGUGCUGUUCUUAGAUAAGAGACCUAGGGAAGAGUGGAGGUCGAGCCCCCAGUGCUGCAGUGCUCAGCCCGUUUUGCACACACAAACACAUGUCCCUCCAAGGUGCAUGAACACGCACAGGCGUGCAUCCCUCACUGGGAAGAUCACACACUCUCUCUCCAGCAUUUUGUCCUAGGGUUCAGGCCUGUCAUCUCCAUAUGAGGCUACCAUCCCAUUCCCAGGAAGCUCACACAGCACCAAGGCUACGAAUCCACUGAAACUGCCAGGGACAGUUAGCUAUUCCCAUCCCAGGCUACUCAAAAAAAAAAAAAAAAACAAAACCAAACAAACAAACAAACAAAAAAACCAGUGCAGAUGUUGGGAACCCACAGUUAGCAGUGAUGUUUUUGUUGACACAGGACGCAGAUAAAGGAUACAUGAGCAUUGUUAUUUUUAAGUUACUUGAGUUUCUGUAUAACCAGAGUUGGCAACCACAGAUUCUGUCCCAAACACCUCUAAAGACACUAACUCAGAGGCCGACAGUCUUGUGCAGUGUCGCACAGCGCGUUACCUGCCUGGCUGGACUAGAACUCAGAGCCCCUGUCUUCCAGCACAAUUCCUUUUUCUCAGGGCAGGAAGGACCAAGACCCAGGGGGCACCACAGGGUCAUUUACAUGAAAAGAUCUGUGACCUCAAACUGGCCUCAGAGCCAGUGUUCUUCCGUGUGCCCAUUCUUCUGCAGUGCGAAUGCGGCUCUGCCCAUGGAGAAGGCAGAAGCGGAGGUAAGCAGUGGGCUAGGUUGAACUUGGCCAGACUGACAGGACCGGGAGCAAUGACGUCCCAAAUGUUAAGCCUAAAGGCCACGAAUGGCAGUCAGGCUGGAGGAGACAGGACACUGCGUCCAAGCAUCUGGAGCUAGGGGACACCUCUGUCUGGAGCCUAGGCUCCCACGGAUGUACAGGGGUGGGGCACUCACCACAGGCUGGCAGACGGGCACGGAAGUCAACCGGGAGCCCAUGGCGCCGGCAUAGCCGUGCGUAGUGGGCCAGUGUGGCACACAGGCAGGGCUGCCCACAGCGGCAGGCAUCCCUACGGCAUUGCUCGAAGUAGGGAAUCGGGCUCAGAUAUGCAGAGCAGGGUGCAAAGAGCUCCCCUGUGAGCACGCUGCAGGCCUGCAGCGCAUACGAUGCUGGAAUGUGAAGAUACGGUCAGUGAGCGGGGUCUGGCUGACUGCUGCCCCAAGACUCAGCCUCCCCUUUCCUGCUCUCCCUCAGGGUCUGUAGAGGGGUGUGUGCAUGUGCAUGCAUGUGCGUGUGCAUGCAUAUGUUCAUUUGUUUGUGUGCACACAUGUAUUUGUGUGUGCUUCUAUGAUUAGCACAUGUAUGUAGACAAGUAUGUGCAUGCACACGGCAGGAAUAUGAGCAGGUACUUCAUGUAAUGAUUCUACCUCAUGCCAGGUCAGGAUCUGUCUGCUAAGGGAGACACAGAAAUGAACAUUGCUAACCAAAUUCCAGACCCUCAGGUAGACAAACUCGUUAGAUGAGACCAUUGUUAGAGGUAAACAAUUUUGCUAGUCAGAUAGAAGAGCCACGAACCUAGGGCAUUGAGAAGGCUAGGGAAAUGCUAGGCAGUCUGAGGAGGGGCAGGGUAGGCAACUGCUACUUUAAGUAGCCAGAAAGGCCUCAACGAGAAGGUAAUGUUCGAGCAAAAGUUGUAAUGAAGGACUGAGGUAGGCUUCAUCCUGAGGUAAGAGUGUGUGGCUGGGGAGGGAGGGGGCACAUGAGUUCAGAGCCUGGGAGGAGGGCAGACCUGCCUGUCAGAGCAGCAUGGACAGCAUGGUCGCUUGUGUGGCUAGAGCAGAGUACAGGGCAGUGAGCAUGGAGGGGGCCUGGUGGGACACGUGAGCAUCUGAGAUGGGAUUCCAGUACUGAGGUGAGUAUCGGCGACAGUGGCAUAGCAGGAAGCUUCCCACCCGCCUGGCCUUCGUCCCCUCCUGUCCCCUCCCUGCAGCCUCUCCUUCUGUCACUCCUAUGCGUUUGACCGGCACCCCCACUUCAGGUUGCUUCUCACCUCUCUCAAAACAGCUCACCUCUACUCCACCCCCCAGGCCUCCCCAGAACCCCACUCCUCACCAGCUUGCAGAUGCACAUCACAGGGGUCCAGCAAGGAGCCAGGGGCCAGCGGGACACAGGCAGACAGGGUUUUCCAAGAAUUGCCAAACAGUUGUGGGGUGCUCUCAGGGACCCCCACUGGAGACCUGUUGCCAUGGCAAAGCUACAGUUGCACACUUGUCCAUGCGGACAUAGGGAUACACAGAACAUCUAUCCACAGGAGCAGCCACAUGCUUACAUCUAACACAUGGCCACAGGGGAGGCGUGAGGCUGUACUCUGAGCCAGCUCCAGGGGAACACACGCAGCUCUGUAUAGACCACUCACACACAUCAACACACAGAAAUGUGCACAUACGUGCACACACACACACACACACACACACACACACACACACUGCACAAGUGCAUUCCAGACACACCAGUUGUCAAGGUGUUCUGUAUAACCACAUUCAAACAAACACAAUUAGAGAUGGGCACAUACACAAUCACACUUAAGAAGACCCAAAAGGAUCCCACUGGGUGUAGGACUGCAUGCUUUUAGCGACUACUCCCAGCUCUUCACGUAAAAAAGCAAUUCUUAGAGAGGAUACCAGCCCUCAGCGAUCUAUGACCUUCUCCUUCUCCCAUCCUGGGAUGUAAGCGGGAAAUGGAUCGUGCAUGGGGAAGAGGGGAGAGAAAGUCGAGACAAGCAUGCUUCCUCAACAGAGGCAGUGUCGACAGUCACUGAAACCCAGUGUGAGUGCUACAGGAAAAGAGCCAGCAUCCUGUGCGGGUGAGGUUCUGCCUGACACCCACUAUGACUCCCACCAUGACACCCACCAUGACACCCACCAUGACUCUCACCAUGCCUGCAUUACUGCUCUAAGCUGUGAGUGUUCUAACUAAACAAGGCAGAACUCACACAUGCCUGGAGGGUGGCAAGCAGCCCAAACACUAAACCAAGGUCUACCUCUACCACUCUGACCAGCUGCCCAAACACCAGCCCUACCGGGCGAGACAGGAGGAAGCUUCACUUAUCUCUGUGCAUACGUUGCAAACUUAAGGCUUCUUCUUGUUCAUCAUAGCGAAGUUGAGCCCCUCAUUCUGGCUACAGGACGCCUCCCAUGUUUCUAAAUCAGCCACUGCAUGUAUCUUGAAGAACGGGCUAGGAUUCUCCAGCCUCAAGAUCAUUCCCACCCUUCUCCUUUCUGAGGAGCCUAACUACUGUCCCCUUCUGAAUUCUUGAACUGUGACCACACCCAGAGAACAAAUUCUCUCAGCUUCCAACUCUUGGGAAAUGGCCUUCCUCCGAGUACUGGCAGGCAUACAUUGUACAAACUCAAAAGUGUUCAAGCACCCUGUAGGGAUGGUCAUGGUGGCCCGCUGGGACUGACCUGGGGACUCCAGUGCCCCUGGCUAGUGAGGCUUAUCUUACCUAACGGUGCUCACAGUUGAUUCAACAAGUAAAUGUCUGAGACUAAUCAAACCCAGAAACUUCUCAUGGCCCAGCCUAUCUAUCUCAGAGGCUAGGAUUAUGGGAGUCCUUAUGGAAAAACGAGGCUUGAAUGAGGUUCUUCAGGAGUAGGACCCACCACCUGGCUGGAUCACUCCCACAUCUACGCACAGCCCAGUGUUUAACCAAACUCCCCAAGUGAUGAUCUUUCUACCCGCAGAAGACUGGAACCAUUAUUUUAACAAAUUAUGCUUCAAUUCAAAUGUGGAAAAGCAAAUAAUUAGUGGUGUGUGUCUGUGUAUGUGGUGUGUGUGUGUGUGUUGGGUGUGUGUGGUGUGUGUGUGUGGUGUGUGUGUGUGGUGUGUGUGUGUGGCGUGUGUGUGGCAUGUGUGUGGUGUGUGUGUGUGUGUGUUGGGUGUGUGUGUGUGGUGUGUGUGUGUGGUAUGUGUGUGUAUGUGUGUGGUGUGUGUGUGGUGUGUGUGUGGUGUGUGUGUGUGUGUUGGGUGUGUGUGUGUGUGGUGUGUGUGUGUGGUAUGUGUGUGUGUAUGUAUGUGUGUGGUGUGUGUGUGUGGUGUGUGUGUGUGUAUGUGUGUGUGUGUGUGUGUGUGUGUGUGUGUCUAUGUGUGUGGCAGUGUCUCUGGAUGCCCAAUACUAAGGAGCCCACAGUCCUCCCUCUGCUUCCUGUUACAGGGCAGGAACACAUACAGGAAGUCGUCCUGUGUGUUGCCGUUGAAGGUGCCACAGAGGCCCACGGUGUCCUCCACCCAUCGCUGGUCCACUUGCAGGUAGAGUCGCAACCCUUCCCGGUCAUAGAGGAUCCGCACACCCACAUUGGUCCUCACCCUCAGGAACACAGAGGACAGCUUCUGGAUCUCAAAAGCGUCUGGCCACAGAAUGGCAAAUGGGAGGAAGACAUCUAUAUCCUAUUCACAGAUGUCCUAAGUGUUUGCCAUGUGCAGGCCGCCCUAGACUGGGCUUCACAGACAAGUACUGAACAAGCACAUUCUCCUGCUCAAGAUUGCAAACUUACGUGGGACAGAGACAUUAAAUAAGUGGACUGACCGUAACAGGAGCAGUGGCCGCUGUAAGCAAGGAGAGGAUACCUACCAGCAAAGCACUCAAAAGAACAGAGAGGUUGCUGCCGAGGUAGGAAAGGCUGUCCCUGUCCCAGGGGACGUGACGAUAGUGAAGACUAAUGCUGGCAGCGAAGCCCCGACCCUGCUGAGUUCUGCUCAUGACAGCGGGCUUUCGCACCAGGAUCCUGGAGCUAAACCUCUGUUCCUGAGUCCUCACUAUGCUCAAGACCCACAUCUAAGCUGGAAAUAGCAUCACCCUUUCGCAGAUCAGAAAACUGAGGCACAAAAAGGGACAUUUGAGUUAUGGUUGAGUGACAUGGGCAGGGCCAUGUGGGAACCGUGACCUCUCUUCGCCAUGCUUCCUAUGCAUUUCCCGUCCCAUUCCUCCAAGAUACUGCUGACUCUCCCAGUCUCGUUAUUGAAGGAUGGACUUAGAAACCCACAGCACUGGGGAUGUAAGUUGGCAUUGGAGCAACAUUUCUUUUUGGCCCUCCGAGUUGAUAAAAGGGAAAUAUAUGUAUAACCCUUGCACGUAUCUGCAUAACCAAUGGACACAGGUAUAUGAACCAGCAUUUAUAUAUAGCACAUCUGUAUAGAUACAUAGAAAUAUAUCUAAAAGCACAAAGUCAACUAAACAUGCACUCAUACCCAUGUUCCGGCUCUAAUCCACCAUGGCAUGGCUCAUUCCAACCUGCCCCCUUUGCUCACCUGUUUCUAGUGUUGACAUCUUAUAUUAGCCGCUACAUUUGUUACACAUAACCAGCCCAUGUUGAUGUGUUGUUGCCCAUAGGGCCAGAAAUAAGGAAGCGUGCAGAUGACCAUGUAUGUACACGUAUGAUAUGAGUGCAUAAAAGGGAUGCAGGACCCAAACGGAAAAAUCUAUCGUUGGCCAAAUCUGAAGCAAUCGAGUGACAAAAUUAAAGAAGCUAUAGAUUGUCACCUCAAAUGUAAAUAUGCAAAUAAUAUGCAAAUCUCACCCUGAGACAAAUCCCAAGGGAGCCUUCUGCCAGUAGCAACCUCUCUGGCCAGGACUUCACAAGCUUUCACGGUCAUCGUAAACUAGGAAAGUCUAACAGACAGCCAAGAAGAGCCGAAGACAUGUAACUAUAUCUAACGUGAGGUGCUGGACCAGAAAAAAUGGCAUUGGGUGAAAACCAAUAAAAUUGGAGUAAACCGUG